CCAUGCUAGGCGGGGAGCUGGCGGUUCCCUGUACUCGAAAACCGCCAUAUGCGAGGCCGAAUGCCUCCCGAGGCACACUGAUUCGGAAAUCGGCAGAGUGAAAAGUGUUGAAGGCCGAGUCUUACGCAACGGAACCCCGUGAAUCUGGUCAGGUCCGGAAGGAAGCAGCCAUAAGCGGGUUAACCGUGUGCCGUGAGGGUGCUCGGACGGAGCUGGAAGCUCUGUUAGACCCGGGUCAGUGUUUCGAAGGAGGAUGCAUGG
rnacentral:SRP_RNA from 2 species